GACGAACGCUGGCGGCGUGCUUAACACAUGCAAGUCGAACGAGGUCCAUGCAGUCGCAAGACUGCGGAAGAUCUAGUGGCGAACGGGUGCGUAACACGUGAGAAACCUGUCCCGGUCUCUGGAAUAACAAGUGGAAACACUUGCUAAUACCGGAUGCCGUCGGACCAUCGCAUGAUGGACUGACGAAAGGGCUACCGGAUCGGGAGGGUCUCGCGGCCUAUCAGCUUGUUGGUGAGGUAACGGCUCACCAAGGCAUCGACGGGUAGCUGGUCUGAGAGGAUGAUCAGCCACACUGGGACUGAGACACGGCCCAGACUCCUACGGGAGGCAGCAGUGGGGAAUCUUGCACAAUGGGCGAAAGCCUGAUGCAGCAACGCCGCGUGCGGGAAGAAGGCCCUAGGGUUGUAAACCGCUUUCAGCAGGGAAGAAACUGACGGUACCUGUAGAAGAAGGUGCGGCCAACUACGUG
rnacentral:rRNA from 1 species